CGGCGGCGGCGGCGGCGGCGGCAGCGGCAGCGGCAGCGGCGACAGUAGGGGAAGAAGAGGAGGAAGAAGGAAAUAAAAAGAAGUGCAAGGCGGAGUCCGCAGCAACGACAGCGGGGACUGCGGCGCCGGGGUAAAGCGACGGCGGCGACGACGACGACGGCCCAACAACCGUGAGGAGAAACAAAAGCGUUCUAAAUUAUAGUUUUUUUAAAAAUCUGGGGGAAAAGAGAGAGAGCAAAGAGGGGAGGCCCUUCUCCUUUAGAGUACCGCAGCAGUGGGUUUUUUUUCUUUCUUUCCUCUUCUCCUCCCCCCCCCCCCCCACUGCGGAGAAUCGAACUGAGAGAACUGAACAAACCGCCCCUGGGUCCCAUGAGGGAAAAAAACCCCGGAGCCGCAGAGAGGGGAAGAGGCAGAGACCGCAGGACCUUCCAGGUCGCCCCUUUGAUCCCCGCACCCCCGGGCCACCAGCGCGUCCUCGUCGAGUCUCGCUAAUCCUUCCUGAUCGCGACCCCCCUCAAGAGGGAGAAACGGGUGUUUCCAACUCAUUUCAUGGGGGAGAGGAGAUCAGGGGGAGCCCAGGAACAGCGACCGCAGCAGGAUCUGCACCCGGAGCCUCAGGAACAGCCCCAGAGGCCCAAACUGCACCCUGAGAAAGAGGAGAAACAGGACCAGGAACAGCAGAAGCCUCCCUGCAAUCAUCCCUCCAUUAGUCAAUGCUGAUUUCCUCUCCCACAACCAGAAAUUCAACUCCCACCCCAGAUCACCUAAUAUAAUCUAUAUAUAUAAUAUAUAAUAUAUAAUGUUCUUAAAUUAUUCCUGAUUUUUUUAAACCAAGCUGCCAAGAAAAAAACGUAUUCUCCCCUUAGCCCUGUUCUAAUUUUUAUGUGAGUGAAUCUAAACUGCUGAGGAAGACCAUAUGUGAUUGUUAAAUUAUAUAUAUAAAUAUAUUUUUACUUCGAGCAAUGCUUAUUCUUCUACAUCCAUAGAUGAUUGAGAAGCUGUGUUUUUGUCAUUCAUGUAUAUUUUCCUUUGGAAAAAGAAAGCGCCUAUUUUACUAACCAAAGACUUGAUUUUUACCCUCUUCAUUUUUAUUCCCUCCUAGAAAUAAGCCCGAUUGGAUUCAUGUCAAUGUUUUAAGAGAUUUUUUUAGGUUUUUUUUGUUGUUAUUGUUUUUCAGAGACCAGAAUUCCAAAUCAGCUAUUUAGGGUGGGGAUAAGCUUUGAUCUUUGAGCUAGCUAUAAAUAAGACAUUUCAAACAAACAAACAACUUAAAAUUUCCAUUGAGGAAAAAAGUGUGAGACAUCAGGUUGUUAUUUUUUAUUGUAAGAUUCUGAUUUUAAAAAUAAUAAAUGGGGGAUUACGGGUUUGGAGUGCUAGUGCAAAGCAAUACUGGGAAUAAAUCUGCUUUUCCAGUCAGAUUCCAUCCACAUCUGCAGCCUCCACACCAUCACCAAAAUGCCACCCCCAGCCCUGCUGCUUUUAUAAAUAAUAACACAGCUGCCAAUGGCAGCAGUGCUGGGUCAGCUUGGCUCUUUCCUGCCCCAGCCACCCAUAACAUUCAGGAUGAGAUCUUGGGGUCAGAAAAAGCCAAAAGUCAGCAACAGGAACAGCAGGACCCUCUGGAAAAGCAGCAGCUCUCCCCCAGUCCAGGUCAGGAAGCUGGAAUACUGCCUGAAACGGAGAAGGCAAAAUCUGAAGAAAAUCAAGGGGACAAUUCUUCAGAAAAUGGCAGUGGAAAGGAGAAAAUAAGAAUCGAAUCGCCAGUGUUGACAGGGUUCGAUUAUCAAGAAGCCACGGGGCUAGGGACUUCGACCCAACCCUUGACAUCUAGUGCAUCGUCUCUUACUGGGUUCAGUAACUGGUCAGCAGCGAUAGCGCCUUCAUCGUCUACAAUAAUCAAUGAAGAUGCAAGUUUCUUUCACCAGGGAGGGGUCCCUGCUGCCUCAGCGAAUAACGGUGCUCUGUUGUUUCAAAAUUUUCCCCAUCAUGUCAGCCCUGGUUUCGGAGGCAGCUUCUCCCCUCAGAUCGGGCCCCUGUCGCAGCACCACCCACAUCACCCUCAUUUCCAGCAUCAUCACAGCCAGCAUCAGCAGCAAAGGAGGUCGCCUGCCAGUCCCCAUCCCCCGCCUUUCACACACAGAAAUGCUGCUUUUAACCAGCUGCCUCAUUUGGCGAAUAAUCUUAACAAACCCCCCUCUCCAUGGAGCAGCUACCAGAGCCCCUCUCCGACACCGUCUUCUUCCUGGAGCCCAGGGGGUGGUGGAUAUGGAGGCUGGGGAGGCUCCCAAGGCCGAGAUCACCGCAGAGGGCUGAAUGGAGGAAUAACGCCCCUGAACUCCAUCUCACCUUUGAAGAAAAAUUUUGCAAGCAAUCAUAUUCAGCUCCAGAAGUAUGCUCGGCCCAGCUCUGCCUUUGCUCCCAAAUCCUGGAUGGAAGAUAGCUUGAACAGAGCUGACAACAUUUUUCCUUUUCCGGAUCGCCCCCGGACGUUUGACAUGCACUCACUGGAGAGCUCACUCAUUGACAUAAUGAGAGCUGAAAAUGAUUCGAUUAAAGGUCGUCUAAACUAUUCAUAUCCAGGAUCCGAUAGCUCUCUGCUUAUUAAUGGUCAGUCGUCACUGUUUCCAAUGGAAGAUGGGUUCUUGGAUGAUGGCCGUGGGGAUCAACCUCUUCAUACUGGCCUAGGUUCACCUCACUGCUUCACUCACCAGAAUGGGGAAAGAGUGGAACGAUAUUCUCGCAAGGUGUUUGUGGGCGGAUUGCCUCCUGACAUUGAUGAAGAUGAGAUCACAGCUAGUUUUCGUCGCUUUGGCCCUUUGAUUGUGGAUUGGCCUCAUAAAGCAGAGAGCAAAUCCUAUUUUCCUCCUAAAGGUUAUGCAUUCCUGCUAUUUCAAGAUGAGAGCUCUGUUCAGGCUCUUAUUGAUGCAUGUAUUGAAGAAGAUGGAAAACUCUACCUGUGCGUAUCAAGUCCCACUAUCAAGGAUAAGCCAGUACAGAUUCGGCCUUGGAAUCUCAGUGACAGUGACUUUGUGAUGGAUGGUUCACAGCCACUGGACCCACGAAAAACAAUAUUUGUUGGUGGUGUUCCUCGACCAUUACGAGCUGUGGAGCUUGCAAUGAUAAUGGAUCGGCUGUAUGGAGGUGUGUGCUAUGCUGGGAUUGAUACUGACCCUGAGCUAAAAUACCCAAAAGGAGCUGGGCGAGUUGCAUUCUCUAAUCAACAGAGUUACAUAGCUGCUAUCAGCGCCCGCUUUGUUCAGCUACAGCAUGGAGAGAUAGAUAAACGGACCUCCGCAGAACGCAAAAUAAAACUUGCAGUGAAUGAAUUGAGCAUUUCACGAGAGUGCUGUUGGGAAGACUUGAUAAUUCACCCCUUUUGUUUUGAAGAGUUGAAUCUUCUGUUAAAAGGUGAUUUAAAACUUGAAUGUGAUGAAUUGUGGCAAGUUAACUUCAAGUUAUGUGCAAUACUUAUUUCAAACUUUUGAAAGAUCUUUGCAGUGUAAUUCUUUGUUUUUAAUUGCAGACAUUUAAAAAUGUCAUUUUCUACUGUUAAGAGUAAUCCUCUUUCUUGCUGGUGUUUCUAAAGAAAAGAAUCAGAAAUCAAUCUUUCUACUAAUGUAAAUUUGAGAUUAUUUUUAAAAAUGGAAUAAAAGAGGUUUUGGUCAUUUGCUUUAUUUUAUUAUCUUAUUUUAAAGCUACUGUGAUUGAUAGCAUUGUAAGAAUUGGGAUGAUAUUGUAUUCAACUGUUUUAUUUUUUAUAUUUUUAAAAUUUAAAGUAUAAUUAGUUUUUAUAAUUUUCAUCAGAUUUUUGUUAUAUUUUUUGGAAGUGAAACUUUUAGCAAGUGGGUGUCUAGUUUUUACUAAUCCCUAAUUUUUUUUUUUCCAGUGUAUUGCUCAUAUUAUCAGAAGGAAAAGUUAUUUAAGUAUGUCAGUUAAUUGUACUACUUGGCUGAAUUUCCAUAUAGUUUUUACUGUGUAUGGGGAGGUUGUAGUAUUUAUUAUAGCAUUUUAAAUAAGGGUAAUUCAUUUUUUAUUAAGGUCAUUUUCACCUUAAGUUCCUAUUUUUGUAUGUUCUACUCUUAAGUUAUAUAACACAGUUCCUUUUUUAAAAGAGUUCAUUUGUUGAAGUGCUAGUGGAAAAUUAAUGUUAUUAAAUAGUUUGCAAAUGACUAUUUAUACCAGUAUGCAUAUAAUUUUUAAAUAUUUGUAAUGUGAGAUGUUGAAUGAAUAAAACUUUUAACUCAGAUUUCUUUUAAUAUACUUGUUUAUUUUCGACACAAGUAGAUUAUGCUUCCACGGUCGGGAAUAUAACAUAUUUAAAGUAUUAAGAGUAUACUUUUAGGCCAAGGCAGAGCAAACUGAUGUGACAAAAUGUUCAGUCAUGUAAGUACUAGUGGCAAGUGUGCAUUGCUUAUAUAAGGCUGUAAACGUUGGCGAGUUGUUCCUUUGGCGUGAAUUGUCAGUUCACAUGCUGCCCUGCAGAUUUCUUUUUAUUUGCAGCCUUCCGUAUGUGAGUGGGGCCUAAUCCCAGGAUCUGAGUGUUCCCUCACCUCUUAAGGCCAAAUGUCCAAAAAAAGUAAGGAAACAAAUGCUUAAUAAUAAAAGUCAGUAUCUAGGAGGUUUAGCUUUCGGUCUUUUUCGGUGAAGAUUCUCAGCUUCUGACCACUCUUUAUGAGGAUCUUGAUUAACAAGUCUCUGGAUUUUGAACUCCCAGAUCCUCCCUAGAUUCUCCCUUUUUAGGAUCUUGUUCUUAGUUGCUGUCAAGUGGAUUCUGGCUCAUGGUGACCCUGUGUGUGUGUCAGAGUAGAACUGUACUCCACAGGGUUUUCAAGACUGUGACCUUUUGGAAGCAGGUCUCCAGGCCUGUCUUCCAAGGCACCUCUGGGUAGGUUCAAACUGCCAACCUUUUGGCUAGCACUUAAGCACUUACCUGUUUGCACCACCCAGAUUCCUCCUUUAUAGACUAUGGCCUUUUAAUAUAAUUUCUAUAGCACACUGAGUUGAAGGUAUUAUAUUUGAUUUGGUCCAUUAAUUACGUGGACUACUGAGUACUGGAAUUUGUUAAUAUUUAUAUUUUAAACUAAAUUUUCAAACUUUGAAUUUAAGGGCUUAAUAUAACAAAAUAUAGCGCUGUCUGAGAAUACCCUGUUUUGUCAAAUUUAAAUUUGGCUCUUUCUUAUCUUGAUAAAGAGUAUUCUCAAGACUAGAAGAAGCAGUUCUUGUCCAGAGACAAAUGGAAUUGUCUUUCCCAAUUGCAACUCUUCCAAUUCUAGGGAUUUUCUGAGGGUAAGGGCUAAACUAGUGGAUCUUAGGAUCCCCCAGGAGUACCAGGUCACAGAAGCUUUGGCUGAACGGCUUCCACUUUCUCUGACAGUAGCCAAAACUCAUGUCCAGAGGUGAAGGGAGGGCCAAUCACUGAGGAAGGAGUGGCCAAGCCGCUGGAGAUGGUGCCAUUUGGUUGCCACCUUCUCAGUACCCCUAGGCAUUCUGGGAUGGCUCCAGCAUUUUAAAAGGAAAAAAAAAACACAAAGAUUUAGCUCCUUGGGAUUUGACUGGACUGUGGGAUAGAAUAUGAUACUGGGGAGGAGUGAGCUUCUUGGAUCAAGUAGACACACGAGACUAUGUGGGCAGCUCCUGUCUAGAGAGGAGAUGAGAAGGCCGAAGGGGACAGAAGCUGGCUGAAUGGACAAGGAAAUACAGGGUGGAGAGGAGGAGUGUGCUGUCACAUUAGGGGGAGAGCAACUAGGAAUAUAUAGCAAGGCAUGUAUAAAUUUUUGUAUGAGAGACUAACUGGAUUUGUAAACUUCACUUAAAGCACAAUAAAAAUUAAAAAAAAAAAGAUUUACUUCCCUUAUUUCAGAAUAUAUUUUAGGUAAGUAAUUUGUCAACUAUAAGUGAUUGAAUUUAACAACUAUAUUUUGAGAUACUUGUGCUGGCAUAUAAUGUGUAGGUGCAAUAUUUCUGUGUUUUAAAUCACAGCAUGAUGAAUCUGGAAAGGCUUGUGAGAGGCUAUCUGGCAUAUAUUUCCUUACUCACUGGCAGCUCACCUAAGCUCACCCUGCAAGGAAAGUUCUCUGUCCUAUUAACAAUCAGGUUAUUUCGUAACCUCUUUUGGUCAUGGAGCCCUGGUGGUGCAGUGGUUAAAAGCUUAGCUGCCAACCAAAAGGUCGUCAGUUCAAAUCCACCAGUGCUCCUUGGAAACACUAUGGAGCAGUUCUACUCUGGCCUGUAGGGUUGCUGUGAGUACAAAUUGACUCAGUGGCAGUGGUUUUCUUGUUUUUGGUAAUGGGUUUGUGUUCACACCCAGGUCAGAGAAAAUAAGUCAUCUUUUCAGGUGUUUUUUUUUAGUUUGAGAAAUAGUCAAAGUAUGAUUUAAAAAUCAUUUUAUUAGUAAAUUCCCGAUUUAAAAAAUUAAGGAACAUUGAUGGCAUCAGUGAGGUAAGUUGAAAACAUUUAAGGGGUAAUUUUUUUUUUUUUCCUGAAGACUGUAAUGAUAGAAUAAUAAACAUGAAGAAGCCCUAAUAUGUAUUUCCUGAAUUGUGAUCUUCAGAGCACUAGGAUAGCUCUGUCCACAAGAAAAGGACAAAAAAUAAAUAAAACCAAAGUAGCUGUCACCAAAUAUGCUCAGGAAAUGAGACAUCCUCUCUUUCUUGGAAAGUCAAACUACGCAUGUCAGCAUGUUAAGGCUUUGACAAGUUCUAAGUGAAGAAAUCUAUUUACUUUGUUUAAAGUGGUUUUUCCCCCAAAUUUCUUCUACUACAGACUCACUGUUUGCAGGUGACAUAGGAUCUGAUGGAACACACUUGGAGAAACACUGCUCUAACGUUUUUGUAUGUUUAUCCGUGUCAGGAAGCCUUAAGCUCCCAAUUUGUUAUUCGCCGUCCGUAGCUAUGUUCUGCAAGAGCUCCUGGUGCUGUUCCUCCUUGGUCGUACCCAGAGCAGUUUCCAUCGGCCACACUUAAUUUACCAGGAUUCUAGCCUAGCUUGUAACCCCUGUCCCAUUUCCAACUCAUCCUGUCAGCAAUUCUUUCCCCUCUACUCCCACCCCAGGAGAAAGAAAAAGAGAAGUUACUCUGCAGAAUCAACCAUCACCUUCCACAGCUAUCUUGAUUAUGCUGCUCCCUGGCUCAGACCAGCCACAAAUCUCACAUUAGACAAGCAAUCUGUGCUUUGAAUCUACCAUUCCAUAAUAUGCUGUCUACGUUUCUGAUAAUUCACGUCAUUUCCCUCCUUCAGGAUUCUCCUUUGCAAACUUCCCUCAGUGCUCGUGCUCUGAGGAUUGGGGCUCCAGGCUUUGAAUAAUGAGAAGAACUCAGAAAAUGAAGGGGCACCCUACUGUGAACGCUUCCUCUAGCAGUACCAAUUCGGCUUUCAGCUUUUCUUAUUAGAGAACAUUUUGUUUUGGCAUGACGUGAGUCUUGUCAGGAUAUUUUUAGUUCUAAUCUUUCUCUAGUCAAAUUAAGUGUCAUUGUUGGCUGUCUGGAAAAAGUGCCUUCUGUGAUUCAGUGUGGUGACCAGAGUUGGAAAAGUACAGUGCGUCUUGAGGAAGUUAAAAAUGAGCAACAGCGUCCAAAGCCAGUGUGUGAGCAAACCACAGUGCUUUCUAUUGAGUAUUAUCUGAUUAAGUGUCAGAGAAAAACUGCUUGUGGGUAGAUGGAGGGUGGAGGGUGGCAAAUCAGGGAAUACAAAUGGCAAACGCUAAGCUUGAGCUUUCUUUAUCCCUUUCACUGGAGAUCUAUUUCAUUAAGCAGGGCUUUGAUAGCGUAAAAAUGUCAGCGUGAUCAAGUAAAUGCCACCAUUUAAAGAGAUUAUUUUCAAUUCUUCUCCCAACACCAAAAGAAAGAAGAAGGAAAAAAACCAAACAUACCCAGAAAUGAGUGUCCAGAACCCACUAAAGGCAAUAGUGCAUUUUUAACUUGUUCUGAAAUAGGUUACCCAGGAAAACAACUGGAAAGGGUGGUGGGGAUAGAAAUCUGUGAAGCUGCAUAAAAGGUUUUAGGUGGGAUUCAGUAUGUGUGAGCCAAUAGAGGCAUAGUUCACCUCUCAUAUUUGAGGGAAACAUGAAGUGGCCCCUUGUAUGUUUAACGGAUGGUUGAAAAUUUGACUUUAAGGACCUGCAGUGGGGAACAUGGAGAAGGCCCUGUGGGUCAGAUGACUCAGCACUCCUAUGGUUUGGUUCUGGAAGAGGAAACAAGUAAUUGCUGAUCACUUGAUGUGUGUCAGUCACUUCUAUACAACAGCAAGGUUAACUCCCACGACAGCAAGGUUAACUCCCGCAACACCUCGUGAGGUAUUCAACAGUACAGAACUGUCUCAGGGACAGAAGAAGCUGGGUGACUUGGCCAAGGCUGCAUGGCUGGUACAUGUUGAAGCUUGGAUUCCAGUCCUUAUCUGCUACAUUCCAAAUCCCACCUGCUUCCCCGAAACCUCACAGCCACUAGAUUAGCAAUGGACAGGUUUAAAAAAAAAAAAAAAAAAGUUGCAUUUUUUAAAAAGAACAUAAGUUUCAUUCCUAAACCUAAUUUGGGUGCAAGAUGUCAUAUUUAGAAGCAUAAAAAUAAGAUCAUAAAACAAAAGUUGUAAGAGAACAGUAAAUUUUGAUUGUAAGUCCUAAAACGAGGUUACUUACUCCUAAGAAUUGGCUCUUGGUCAGGUGAUGUGCUCAAGGUCAUAUGUGGUUGAUUAGUGGAAGGCCAGCUAAGGAGACUGUGGCUCAGGGCUACUUCCGCCCCUCUUGUCUGCCUUAUUACAACAAAACAACAAACCAACUGCUGUUGGGUCGACUGUAACUCCUGGGCACCCUAUGUGUGUCAGAGUAGAAUUGUGCUCCGCAGAGUUUUCAAUAUCUGGUUUUUCUGACAGAUCACCAGGUCUUUCUUCUGAGAUGCCUCUGGGUGGACUUGAACCUCCAACCUUUCGGUUAGCAGCCAAGAGUAUAAUUCAUUUGCACCACCCAGGGACUCUGUCUGCCUUAUUGGCCUUCUUUAAAGCUGUUUCUGGAGUUCAGUGGCCAGACUUGGGUACACGUCUCAAGAGUAGGGGCAAAGUAGUUGAAAGGCAAUUUUGAUUUCACUUUGAGGAACUACAGACUUCUGAGGGCAUAUCCUUCUCUUUGCCUCAAUCCCCAGGUAAAGACAUCAGUUUGGAACAGUUAAUGAGGAAAAGGGAGGGUCCUUUUCUUUAGUACUAAAAAAAAAAAAAGUGAACCCACAAAUUCCAGAAACAAACAGUUCUGAGAGUGAGAAUAACAACAACUAGCAUUGAUGGAGUGCUAGAGGUUUCUCCUCUUUUCAGCCUCGUCACAACCCGGUGAGAUAGGGACUGUUAUUAUGCCCAUUUUAAGGUGAUCAUGGUUCAAGAAGGCUAACCAACCUUCAAAGUCAGGAUUCAAACCCAAGUACACAGAUUCCAGGUCCUGUUUCUCCUCAUCCCUUGUAACUUACCAAUUUUUUAAUUAAAAUUUCAUUAAAAAUUCAGUUUUUCUACUGCAUUGACUAAGAAAUCAUCAAGAAGUCAUACUUAAGGAAUACAUGUCAUUUUACAAACCCAAUUAAAAAUCAUUCAUUUUGUUUGACAACAUUUUUAACAAUAAUGUGAUAAACACUUUUUUUGGUAGUUACAUUAUCCUCCCAAUUGUCAGGGGAUGAAAAAGUGUCUGACCAAAAUCUCAUGAGUGCCAAGAAACCAUGGGUGGACAGGUGGGUGGGUGGCGAAUGGAUGGAUGGAUGGAUAGAUAGAUAGCUAUAAAUACACAUAUCUUGUUAUUAGGUUCUGUUGAGUCAGUUUGGACUCAUAGCAACACUAUGUACAACAGAAUGAAACAGUGCCCAGUCCUGUGCCAUCCUCACAAUCGUUGCUAUGUUGGAGCCCGUUGCUGCAGCCACUGUGUCAAUCCAUCUCAUCUGUUUUGCUGACCCUCUACUUUACUAAGCAUGAUGUCCUUCUCCAAGGACUGAUCCCUUCUGCUAACAUGUCCAAAGUACGUGAGAUGAAGUCUCACCAUCCUUGCUUCUAAGGAGCAUUCUGGCUGGCCGCCUUUCAGCCAGAAUGAUUGAAUAAUAUGCUCUAUAUAGACAUCAAGCCUCUUCUCAGGACUCUAAUCCUUUGACCCUCUGCAAAAUCUCUGUAACCGCACAAAAAUAGUCCUGAAAUUCAAUGGAGGGGGAGAGGCUUUCUUACUGAUGUGUCCUGGUGAAUUUUAAAACAGCACUUCAACAUUUUGCUUCUGGACUGGGAUGUCAGAAGCAUUCUGCAGAGAAUUUAUAUUCUGAUGUAUAUAUGCAUACAUAUUUAAAAAAAAAAGGGAACAAAGUCUGCCGUUUUUAGAGCACCAGAGCCCUGUAACACGCAGCUUUGAUCACUGCCGCAGCCCUGACAGCUGGGCUUGAAAAGCUGUGGUGGUGUAGAGGCUGGAUGAACCACCUUGGAAUGUUUGAGCACAGCUUUGCAGCACAACGUCCUUCUGAGGGAGGCAUGAAGGCCAUGGCCAAUUACAGUCGUCAUCAGCUUCCUUCUCUGCCGUCCAAAAAAUACAGAUCUAACAAAGACCAAAGAUGAAAUUCUCAAAUUGGAAGGGAUGCAAAUGGAACUCAGAUCUAGUCUCCUAAGGUGUCCUACUUCAGUCAUGACCAGCAGCCCACCCUGGCUGUCAGCAGGUGGGGGUGAGGAGGGUCAGGGAGGCGGAGGGCUGGGGAGGAGGGGAAGAGAAGGAAAGCGAAAGUCAAUUAUCAAAUGCAAUUGUGUCCACAGGCCUACAGUCCCUCUACCCACACAGACACAUGGCACACACACCAUAGCCAGGGCACAGUCCUUCCACCCAACCGAUCACAAUCUCAUCUCUCCUACAGGGUGAGGCGACUUUGCAGGGACUGAGUCAGUUGCUGUGAAGGCAAUUCUGACUCACGGAGACCCCACCUGUGUCCGAGUAGAACUGAGCUCCGUACAGUUUUCAGUAGCUGAUUUUUCAGAAGUAGAUUGCCAGGCCUUUCUUCAGAGGCACUUCUGGGUAGACUCGAACCUUGAGUCUUUUGGUUACCAAUCAAACAUGUUAGCUGUACUACUCAGGGCCUCUUUGCAGUGAUAUAGUCACCCAUAAGGGGAGAAAAUGGACUCUUUUUUUGGAUUUCCUUAUACUUAAAUUUUUUCCUUUGAAUUACAUAUGGCAAGGACUCAGAUGUUUAUUAUUAUCAUUGUUAAUAUCAAUGUUAUCAUAUUAAUUAUUGUCAUUGUUACUAUUACUAUCUACCCACUUACACAGUGCCAAGGUCCCUGGGUGACGCAAACAGUUUACACUUGGCUACUAACCUGAAGCUUGGCGAUUUGAACCCACUGGAAGCACCACAGAAGAAAGAUUUAACCCAGAAGAAUAUAGCUAAAAAAUAUGAUUUUCCCAUACCUUUGAAUGAAGCUUCCAAAAUAAUAAAGAAGAAAAAGAAAGAGGUUUCAGUAUGGAAUAGAGUAUACAAAGUUAUUUCUAGAAUGCUUGAAGAAAAUGAAAAAUACAGACUCAGACUGAAUUCUCAGCGAUUAUCUAGUAAAAACUCAAAUUACAUGAGAUGAAUCCCAUCUUCUUCUGGUAAAGGGAGUUUCCCUGGAGUGCGGCCUGCACCAUCUUUUAUUUCUCAAGAGAAGAAAGGGAAGCAAGCAGAGAGUUGGGGACCUCAUACCACCAAGAAAGCAGCACUGGGAAUAGAGCACAUCCUUGGACCCAGGGUCCCUGUACCUAAGAAGCUUCUUGACCAUGGGAAGAUUGAAGACAAGGAUCACCCUCCAGAGCCAACAGAGAGAGAAAGCCUUCCCCUGGAGCUGACGCCUUGAAUUUGGACCUUUAGCCAACUUAGUGUGAGGAAAUAAAUUUCUCUUUGUUAAAGCCAUCCACUUGUGGUAUUUCUGUUAUAGCAGCACUAGAUAACUAAGACACUGCCUUUAAAAUUUUCCCUCUAUUUUUUGUUUUUGACAGUUUUGAAUAUGAUAUUCCUAAGUUAUUUAUUUUUGUAUUUAUCCUUCCUGGCUUUCUCUGAACUUUUUAAAUCUUUGGCUUGGUGUCUUUCAUUCCUUUUAGAAAAUUUGACCAUUAUCUCUUCAAAUAUUAUCUUCUAUCCAUUUUCUCUCUUCUCUUUCUGGGAUUCCAAUUACACAUGUAUUAACGCCAUUAGACAUUGUCUCACAUUUCAUGGAUAAUGUGUUCUAUUUUUUCACUCUUGUAUCUUGGUGUCUCAGUUUUGGCAGUUUAUACUGAUCUAUCUUCAAUAUUUUUUAUUUUUUUAUCUUCAAUUCAUCGAUCCUUUGAACCACUGUGUUAAGUCUGUUGAUGAGUCUGAAGAAGUCAUUCUUCACCUCGGUUACUAACAUUUUUAUUUUUUUUGUCUAGCAUUUCCAUUUGAUUUGAUCUUAUAGUUUCUAUGUCUCUUAUGAAAUUCCUCAUCUGAUCAUAUUGUCCACCUUUUUCUCCAGAACGUUCAAUAUAUUAAUGAUAAAAAACAAAACAAAACAAACCCAUUGUCAAAUCACUUCUGACUCAUGGCACUCUCAUAUGUUACAGAGUAGAACUGCUCCGUGGGGUUUUUGUGGCUGUAAUGUUUACUGAAGCUGAUCACCAAGUUUUUCUUCCAUGGUGCCACUGGAUGGGUUCGAACUGCCAACCUUUAGGAUACUAGUUGAGCACGAAUCAGUUGCACCACCCAGGGACCUAUAUUAAUCAUGUUGUUGUUCUUUGCCAUUGAGUUGAUUCUGACUCAUAGCAACCCUAUAUGACAGAGUAGAACUACACAAUAGGGUUUCCUAGGCUGCGAUCUUUAUGGGAGCAGAUUGCCAGGUCUUUUAUCUCACAGAGUUGCUUGUGGGUUUGAACCACUGACUUUUCAGUUAGUAUUCCCUGUCUGGUGGUUCCAACAUUAGCAUCAUAUAUGAAUCUGUUUCCACUGACUGCUUUGUCUAUUGACAUUUUUUUUUCCUUGCUACUUUUUGCAUAUGUUAAUUUUUGGUCUUUCAGCAGCUUAGCACUUUUGUUUUCAGGUAAGAUAGGGAAAGAGGAUCUGGACAGAGCUUUACAUCAUUCCUGCACUGUUGCUGUUUCUGUAUCACAGUUUUGAACCAUGAGAUACACUUUCUCUGGUCUUUUGUGCAGUCCUCAAUCUUUCUUGUAAGAUCUGUGGUGAAGAACCUGUGAAUGCAUAUGGAUUUUUUUUAUGCCUAUAUUUUCUGGGGAUUCUAUACUCUUACACAACCUUUAACAAUUGAUUAAAAAUUUUAGCUGAAUUGUUCUUGCCAGCUUGUUUGUGUAUUAUGAGGCAUCUACUCUAAGUAAGCAAAUGUUUGCAUCUGCCUUUCAUUGAAGGUACCUGUCUUUUCCUACUUUUUAGGUAAAUAGUUUGCACUAUGGCCUCAACACUCAGAUGGGUUAAAGAAAAAUUAUGAUUUUGCAGAUAUCUAGCCUUUUUUUUUCUGGUUAAUUGUAAGGUGGGGAGUUGGAGUCCUUGGUGGUGCAAAUGGCUAAUGCUCUUGGCAGCUAACCAAAGGUUCAAGGUUAGAGUCCACACAGAAGAAACUUGGAAGAAAGGCCUGAUGUUCUACCAUAUUUUUAUACAAAUAACGCGUGCUUUCUACAUUUGUUUGCAAGCUAUGCCUUCCUCCCACAAGGUAUUUUUGUAAAACCACCUGUUGCCAUUGAGUUGAUUCAGACUCAUAGUGACCCUAUAUGACAGAGUAAAACUGCCCUAUAGGGUUUCCAAAGCUGUGAUCUUCAUAGAAGCAGAGUGCCACGUCUUUCUCCUGUGGAGUGGCUAGUGGGUUGAAUCACCAAACUUUUGGUUAGCAGCCAGCAGCUUAAUCACUGUACUACCAGGGCUCCCACUGACCUCUCUUUGACCUCAGUUAAUACAUUCAUUGCUUCAAGGCAUCGAAUGUGUCCUAAUUUCAAUCUUACCUUUAUGGAAGAAUUUUGUGGGCCUGGGGAAAAGUUUUACAAAUACUGGAAAAGCUCCGUUCUGACCUUAGAUAAACUCAUUGGUUUCUUGGCUUAGUCUGUUUAAUUUUAUUGAUUUUUUUUUUAUAAUCCUAAAUGAGUCCUCAUCUCAUCCCUAUGCUUUUAGAAAUAUGGUCAUGUGUAUAGAAUAAUUAUGUAUUACUAGAAAAUUUAUAACUUUAAAUCAAAUUAAUCUGUAGACUCCUAGCUGUCCUUAUUGCACCUGAAGGAUCUGAGUCACUGCUUCAUGAAGUGUGUCCUCAUUUAACCUCUGUACUCUAAGAAUCUGGUGGAGUAUGAGGGAGAUUUUUCAUAUUUCUGGAAGUGUUCCAGUAUGACCUCAAAUGAGCCUCCUGGAUUGUCAAAUGUCAUAUUGGUCUUUCUGUGACUCCAGUGUGUCCUUAUUUGUCCCCUUUAUUCUAGGAAUCUGGUGGUAUUUAGAGAAAAUUUUCAAAUAACUGGAAAUAGCCUAGUUUUGACUAUGGCUGACUCCAUCAAUUCUAGUAUUUUUGGAUCUUUCAUAUUAGGAAUACUGAACCAGAUUAAAAAAAAAAAAAUCACUGUAAAAUGGAAUUUCCAGGCAUCAAGAGGCAGAGACCAACUGACAACUGAAAUUAUCCCAAUGAAAGACAAUGCCAGGUAGUUCCAAACACAUACUACCCACUCCUGCCUGAAGGUGGGAGUCUUCAAGUAUCUAAUGGUCUAGGGCAGAGUCGUGGAGGAGUGGUGAUGUCCAGCCACAAGUCUCCUACCUUACGCAAAUCAGAUUCAAGUGAGAUGUUCAUUUAUUCACUCUUCAUUUAUUCUUGUGGUAUUUGUCGAGUACAUGCUGUGUUCCAGAUUCUGUUCUAGGCACUGGGGAAACAUAAGUGAACAAAACAUUAAAAAAAAUCCCUGGCUUUAGGGGAACAGAGACAAUAAAUAAAUAAAUAAAUAAAAUAUGUAGUAUGUUAAAGUGCUUUGAGGAGAAGUAAGGUAAUAAAUAAAGGAAGAAGAAGAUGGUGUGUCUAGGAAUACAUGUUAAGUAGGGUGUCCAAGGAGAUGCCUUACAUAGAAGGUGAUAUUUAGAUAAAAACCAGAAAUAAGGAAGCCAGAUAUGCAGCUGUCUGAGAAAAGAGCAUCCUAGGUAGAUGCCAGGGUAAAACUGGAGAACAGAAAAACAAUACAGGAAGAAAAAAAAAAAGGACCAGUGGAUUCAGUAAGGUGCAGAGUAGUAGGAGGUGAGGCGAGAGGGUAACAGAGCCCAGAUUUUAGGUUGUAGAUGUUCCUUUUACUCAGAGUUAGUUAGGAAACUACUGGAGGAGGGUUUUGAGCAGAUAAUUCACUAUUAACUUCUUUGGCUUCUAUUUUGAGAAUGCACCUAAAGGAAGCAAGGGCCUUCUUAUAUGAGUCAGUGAGGGAGUUUUCCCCCUAUUUUUUAAAUGUAAACAAAACAAACAAAAAAAAUCGAGAAAAUAUAAAGUCUCAGAAAAGAGGGACUUUUACGGGGAAUUUGCAAAUACAACAAGUUCUCUUUCCUUGAUGGAGAUAUAUAAUCCACCUUCUGGGAGAAACCAAAACCAAACCAGUUGCUAUCAAGUCAAUUCUGACUCAUAGUGAUCCUAUAGGACAGAGUAGAACUGCCCUGUAGAGUUUCCAAGGAAUGCCUGGUAAAUUCGAACUGCCAACAUUUUGGUUGGCAGCCAUAGCACUUAACCACUACACCACCUCCUGGGAGGGGGGCACUCAAAUCCUUGAUUCACUUUGGGUAAGAAUACCAGACAAUGCUUAUAGUCUGUCAAUCACCUUUGGUUUCAGAUAACAUCUAUCAGAGGGUCUGAGGCCUGUAAAAGGAAUGUUAUUCGAGGUCUCUUAUAACAUCCACUGAACCUACAGGCAACUAUUUGAUUCCAUCAUGUUAGCUUACUAAACCAAACCAAAACCAAACCUAUUGCCAUUGAGGUGAUUCUGACCUGUGGUGACCCCAUAUGUUACAGAGUGGAAUUGCUCCAUAGGGUUUUCUUGGCUGUAAUCUUUACAGAAGAAGAUUGCCAGGCCUUUCUUUUUCUGUGCUGCUGGGUGGGUUUGAACUGCUGACUUUCAGGUGGUAGUCAAGCACAAACUGCUUGUACCACCCAGGGACCUUGCUGGCUUACUAAUCUUUUAUAAAUCUACUGUUUUCUUUUUAUCUUUUAAGUUUUCUAGAACUAAGUGGAAGUUUUCCUCUAGCAGAAAAUUGUUCUUUUUUUUUUUUUCAUUUCUUUAAAAAUAAGUAACAUGGGGGUGUAGAGGACGUGAAGAGCAAAAAAAGUAUUAAAAAUAAAAAUCAACCAUAAAAUUAACCGGAAUAUAUCUUUCAGUCUUUUGUGUAUAUUUUCACAUAGUUGAGAUCAUAAUGUCUUUAAAAAACAAUACUUUAUUGAGUUUUUGGUGAAAGUUUACACAGCAAGUUAGGCUCCUAUUUGAUGAUUUCCACACAAAUAGUUUGGCGAUAUUAGUUACAUUUAUCACAAUAUGUCAGCAUUCUCCAUAAUUGUGUCUGUUCCCUUUCAAGUAAUCUAGUUUCCCUACCCUCGUAUCUUAUCAUCUUUCCUUUUAUUCAUUUUUUAAAUUGUGCUUUAGGUGAAGAUUUACAGAGCAAAUUAGUUUCUUAUUAAGCAAUUAAUACACAUUGUUUUGUGACAUUGGUUGCCAACCCCGCAACAUGUCAACACUUUCCCCUUCUCGACCUUGGGUUCCCCAUUUCCAUUCGUCCAACUUUCCUGAUCCCUCCUGCCUUCUUGUCCUUGCGCCUGUGCUGUUGUGCCCAUUUAGUCUCCUAUAUGUGGUUGAGCUACGUGUAUUAUUUUUUGUUUCGUGGGCCUAUCUAUUCUUUGGCUGAAGGAUGAACCUCAGGAGUGGGUUCACUACUGAGUUGAAAAGGUCCCCAGGGGCCAUACUCUUGGGGUUUCUCCAGUCACUGUCAGACCAGUAAGUCUGGUCUUUUUUUAUGAGUUUGAAUUAUGUUCUUCAUUUUUCUCCAGCUCUGUCUGGAACCCUCUAUUGUGAUCCCUGUCAGAGCAGUCAGUGGUGGUAGCCAAGCACCAUCUAGUUGUGCUAGACUCAGCCUGGUGGAGGCUGUGGUAGUUGUGUUCCAUUAAUCCUUUAGAAGAAUCUUUCCCUUGUGUCUUUGGUUUUCUUUAUUUGGGAUGAGACCAGUAGAUGUAUCUUAGAUGGCCACUCACAAGCUUUCAAGACCUGACUCUACUCACCAAAGUAGGAUGUAGAACAUUUUUUUUAAAUAAACUAUGUUAUGCCAAUUGAGCUAGAUGUCCCCUGAGACCAUGGUCCCCAGACCUCAGCGCUGGUAACUCAGUCCCUAUGGGAGUUUGGGUGUGUCUAUGAAGCUUGUAUGACUUUGCCUUGGUCAAGUUGUGCUGGCUUCCCCAGUAUUGUGUACUGUCUUACCCUUCACCAAAGUUACCACUUAUCUAUUAUUCAGUGUUUUUCCCUCCUCUCCCUCCCCUCCCCCAUAACAAUCAAAGAUUAUUUCUUUCUGUGUGUAAACCUUUUCAUGAGUUUUUAUAAUAUUGGUCUCAUAUAGUAUUUGUCCUUUUGUGAAUGAUUUAUUUCACUCAGUGUAAUGCCCUCCAGAUUCAUUCAUGUUGUGAGAUGUUUUGCAGAUUCAUCGUUGUUCUUUAUUGUGUAGUAUUCCAUUGUGUGUAUGUACCAUAGUUUGUUUAUUCAUUCAUCUGUUGAUGGACUCUUAGGUUGUUUCCAUCUUUUUGCUGUUGUGAAUAAUGCUGCAAUGAACAUGGGUGUGCAUAUGCCUAUUCGUGUGAUGGCUCUUACUUCUCUAGGAUAUAUUCCUAGGGUGGGAUGGCUGGAUUGUAUGGUAUUUCUAUUUCUAGCUUUUUAAGGAAGUGCCAUAUCAUUUUCCAAAAUAGUCAUACCAUUUUACAUUCCUACCAGCAGUGCAUUAGAGUUUCAGUCUCUCCGCAGCCUCUCCAACAUUUGUCAUUUUCUGGUUUUUUUUGAUUCGUGCCAGUAAUGUUGGGGUGAGAUGGUAUCUCACUGUAGUUUUCAUUUGCAUUUCUCUAAUGGCUAGUGCCCCAUUCGUCUGUUGGGGGCUUUCAUGUUGCUGUGAUGCUGGAACCUAUGCCACCAGUAUUGAAAUACUGGCAGGGUCGCCAAUGGUGGACAGGUUUCAGCUGAGUUUACAGACUAAGACAGACUAGGAAAAAGGAUUUGGUGAUCUACUUCUGAAAAAAAAUAAGCCAGCGAAAACCUUAUGAAUAGCAGUGGGACAUUGUCUGAUACAGUGCCAGAAGAUGAGCUGCUCAGGUUGGAAGGCACUCAAAAUAUGACUGAGGAAGAGCUGUCUCCUCAAAGUAGAGCUGACCUUAAUGACAUGGAUGGAGUCAAGCUUUCAGGACCUUCAUUUGCUGAUGCGGCAUGACUCAAAAUGAGAAGAAACAGCUGCAAACAUUCAUUAAUAGUUGGAAUGUGGAAUGAACGAAGUAUGAAUCUAGGAAAAUUGGAAAUUGUCAAAAAUGAAAUGGAACGCAUAAACAUUGAUAUUCUAGGCAUUAGUGAGCUGAAACGGACUGGUAUUGGCCAUUUCGAAUUGGACAAUCAUACGGUCUGCUACUCAGGGAAUGACAACUUGAAGAAGAAUGAUGUUGCAGUCAUCAACAAAAAGAGCAUUUCAAGUUCUAUCCUGAAGUAUAAUGCUGUCAGUGGUAGCAUAAUAUCCAUAUACCUACAAAGAAGACCAGUUAAUACAACUAUUAUUCAAAUUCAUGAACCAACCAUUAAGGCCAAAGCUGAGGAAAUUGACGAUUUUUACCAACUUUUGCAGUCUGAAAUUGAUCAAACAUGAUAAUUGGAAUGUGAAAGUUGGAGACAAAGAAGAAAGAUUGGUAGUUGGAAAAUAUGGCCUUGGUGAUAGAAGCAAUGUCAGAGAUUCCAUGAUAGAAUUUUGCAAGACCAAAGCCUUCUUCCUUGCAAAUACCUUUUUUCACCAACAUAUAUGGUGACUAUACACAUGGAUCUUGCCAGAUGGAAUACACAGGAGUCAAAAAAGCUACAUCUGUGGAAAGAGGUGGUGGAAAAGCUCAAUAUCAUCAGUCAGAGCAAGGCCAGGGACCAACUUCAGAACAGACCAUCAAUUGCUCAUGUGCAAGUUCAAGUUGAAACUGAAGAAAAUUAGAACAAGUCCAUGGGAGCCAAAGUAUGACCAUGAGCAUAUCUCACCUGAAUUUAGAGAGCAUCUCAAGAAUAGAUUUGACACACUGCAUACAAAUGACUGAAGACCAGAUCAGUUGUGGAAUGAUAUCAAGGACAUCAUGCAUGAAGAAAGCAAGAGGUCAUUAAAAAGACAGGUAAGAAAGAAAAAACCAAAAUGGACAUCAGAAGAGACUAUGAAACUCGCUCCUGAAUGUAGAGUAGUAAAGUGAAGGGAAGAAAUGAUGAAGUAAAAGAGCUGAAUAGAAGAUUUUAAAGGGCUGCUCGAGAAGACAAAAUAAAGUAUGAUGAUGACAUGUGCAAAGACCUGGAGGUAGAAAACCAAAAGGAAAGAACAUGCUCGGCAAUUCUCAAGCUGAAGGAACGGAAGAAAAAAUUCAAGCCUCUAGUUGCAGUGCUGAAGGAUUCUAUGGGGAAAAUAUUAAAUGAUGCAGGAAGCAUUAAAAAAAGAUGGAAGGAAUAACACAGAGUCACUGCACCAAAAAUAAUUGGUCAGCAUUCGAACAUUUCGGGAGGCAGCAUAUGAUCAGGAACCUAUGAUGCUGAAGAAAGAAGUCCAAGCUGCACUGAUGGCGUUGGAGAAAAACAAGCCUCCAGGAACUGAUGGAAUACCAAUUGAGAUGUUUCAACAAAUGGAUGCAGCAGUGGAAGUGUUUGCUCAUCUAUGCCAAGAAAUUUGGAAGACACUGGAAGAGAUCCAUGUUCAUGGUUAUUCCCAAGCAAGGUGGUCCAUCUGAAUGUGGAAAUUACCAAACAAUAUGAUUAAUAUCACAUAAAAGUAAAAUUUUGCUGAAGAUCAUUCAAAAGCGGUUGUAGCAGCAUAUCAACGGGGAACUGCCAGAAAUUCAAGCUGGAUUCAGAAGAGGGCAUGAAACCAGGGUUAUCAUUGCUGGUGUCAGAUGGAUCCUGGUUGAAAGCAGAGGACACAGAAAGGUGUUUACUU